rnacentral:misc_RNA from 1 species
UGCCACUGUGUUGCGCUUGCGCGAGGGAGAGCGUCUCCGAGAACAACACUGCCCACUUUUUCAAGAGAGAAUUUGUGCAUCUUGGACGAGCCGCGGAAUCGUGUCGUGGGUACAACGCAGAGAUAACUAUUCCUCGGAGACAUGAGUUAUCCAAUGUCGUCGAAUCAGUCUAGACCAAUGUCCCAAGGAAAUUAUCAGGGCCCAGGCGAUUUGCCUAUGGGUUCCGCAAAAGAACAGACAUUGAUGUGGCAGCAAAAUUCCUAUAUGAAUGAUUCAGGCAUCCAUUCUGGCGCCGUUACUCAAGCACCAUCUUUGUCCGGCAAGGAAGAUGAAGAAAUGGAAGGGGAUCAAUUAAUGUUUGAUUUGGACCAAGGAUUUGCACAGGGUUUUACACAGGAUCAAGUUGAUGAGAUGAACCAACAAUUGAGUCAUACUCGGUCGCAACGUGUACGUGCUGCUAUGUUUCCUGAAACACUAGAGGAAGGUGUAGAGAUACCUUCUACACAAUUUGAUCCAGCACAGCCUACCGCUGUACAAAGAUUGGCCGAACCAAGCCAAAUGCUGAAGCAUGCUGUUGUCAAUUUGAUUAACUAUCAGGAUGAUGCUGAUCUCGCUACGCGCGCUAUUCCCGAAUUAAUCAAGCUUUUAAAUGAUGAGGAUCAGGUGGUUGUUUCUCAAGCAGCUAUGAUGGUACAUCAGUUAUCUAAAAAAGAAGCUUCCCGCCAUGCUAUCAUGAAUAGUUCGCAAAUGGUAGCUGCCUUAGUGCGCGCCAUUUCUAAUAGCGACGAUUUAGAAUCGACAAAGGCUGCAGUCGGUACCUUGCACAAUUUAUCACAUCAUAGACAGGGCUUACUAGCAAUUUUUAAGAGCGGUGGAAUUCCCGCGCUUGUGAAACUGCUGAGUUCUCCAGUAGAAUCUGUUCUCUUUUAUGCGAUAACAACUCUUCAUAACUUAUUGCUUCAUCAAGAUGGCUCCAAGAUGGCUGUACGUCUUGCUGGCGGUUUGCAAAAAAUGGUUGCUUUAUUGCAACGAAACAAUGUCAAAUUUUUGGCCAUUGUUACCGAUUGCUUGCAAAUUCUAGCAUAUGGAAAUCAAGAGAGCAAAUUAAUAAUUCUUGCUUCGCAAGGUCCGAUAGAACUUGUGCGUAUCAUGCGCUCUUAUGAAUAUGAGAAACUGUUAUGGACUACUUCGAGGGUGUUGAAAGUAUUAUCUGUAUGUCCGAGUAACAAGCCCGCGAUCGUAGAAGCAGGUGGCAUGCAGGCACUUGCUAUGCAUCUCGCAAAUCCGAGUCAAAGAUUAGUGCAGAAUUGUUUAUGGACAUUACGUAAUCUAUCGGAUGCUGGAACAAAAGUUGAUGGACUUGAUAACUUGUUGCAGAGUCUCGUUCUUGUACUCGGAUCAACGGAUGUGAACGUCGUUACUUGUGCGGCUGGCAUUUUAUCAAACUUGACUUGUAACAAUCAACGUAAUAAAGUUGCGGUGUGUAAUUAUGGUGGUGUGGACGCUCUCGUUCGUACAAUUAUCAAUGCCGGCGAUCGAGAAGAGAUAACUGAACCGGCAGUAUGUGCUUUACGUCAUUUGACAUCGCGUCACAAUGAAGCAGAAAUGGCGCAAAACUCGGUUCGAUUGAAUUACGGUAUUCAAGUUAUAGUUAAAUUACUUCACCCACCGUCGCGAUGGCCAUUGGUGAAGGCGGUUAUUGGACUAAUCCGCAAUUUGGCUCUUUGUCCUGCAAAUCACAGUCCAUUACGCGAUCACGGUGCAAUACAUCAUCUCAUAAGACUUUUAAUGCGUGCAUUUAAUGACACACAGAGACAACGUUCAUCAGUUGCUAGUACUGGUAGCCAACAGACAUCAGGUGCAUAUGCAGAUGGAGUACGUAUGGAGGAAAUAGUAGAAGGUUCAGUGGGAGCACUUCAUAUUCUAGCAAGGGAAUCCCAUAAUAGAGCGAUAAUUCGCUCACAAAACGUGAUUCCAAUUUUCGUACAAUUAUUAUUUAAUGAGAUUGAAAACAUUCAACGCGUGGCAGCCGGUGUACUUUGCGAACUAGCAGCCGACAAAGAAGGUGCCGAGAUAAUAGAACAAGAGGGUGCUACUGCUCCUCUGACGGAACUACUUCACUCUAGAAAUGAAGGUGUUGCCACUUAUGCAGCAGCAGUAUUGUUUCGCAUGAGCGAAGAUAAGCCCCAAGAGUACAAAAAACGACUUUCCAUGGAGCUGACGAAUUCCUUAUUCCGCGAAGACACAAAUUUAUGGAACAAUACUGACUUCAGCAUGGCCCCAGAUCUCCAGCUACCUAAUCUUCAGGACAUGCUUGGCCCUGAUCAAGGCUAUGAUGGUAUGUAUGGCCAAGGACCUCCUAGUGUACACAGCAGCCAUGGUGGUCGAGGUUAUCAACCGCAAGCAGCUUAACCAAUGGACUCUUAAAUUAAAAUACAGGCUAUCAACAGUAUCUCACAGUAACAUAGGUUAUGACCAGAUACCAAUAGACUCAAUGCAAGGAUUGGAGAUUGGUGGUGGAUCGACGUAUGGUGCGAUGGACACUAUGGACGUGGCGCACGAGGGUGAUUUGAGCUUCGAUCAUUUGGAAGAGCUGCCUGCACCGCCGCAAGAUAAUAAUCAGGUCGCGGCCUGGUAUGAUACCG